AAGCAGUCGAUUAAUACUCGGUUGUUCUGACGGUACCCAAAGAAUAAGCACCGGCUAACUUCGUGCCAGCAGCCGCGGUAAUACGAAGGGUGCAAGCGUUACUCGGAAUUACUGGGCGUAAAGCGUGCGUAGGUGGUUGUUUAAGUCUGUUGUGAAAGCCCUGGGCUCAACCUGGGAAUUGCAGUGGAUACUGGGCGACUAGAGUGUGGUAGAGGGUAGUGGAAUUCCCGGUGUAGCAGUGAAAUGCGUAGAGAUCGGGAGGAACAUCCAUGGCGAAGGCAGCUACCUGGACCAACACUGACACUGAGGCACGAAAGCGUGGGGAGCAAACAGGAUUAGAUACCCUGGU
rnacentral:rRNA from 1 species